rnacentral:tRNA from 2 species
GCACCUGUAGCUCAGGUGGUUAGAGCGCUUCCGGGGCUGUAAUAGGCCGAAGUAUCGGAUGAGGGAGCGGGUUCGAAUCCCGCCAGGUGUGCCACACCC